CUCAGAUUAUAUCGACGGGAACCCAAACAAACUCGCCGGUUGGAAUGCAUUCUGUGGGAAUACAAAGUGCACGGUUGAAGUCGACAUCAGGCGGCACACAGUUGUCCAUGGGAUCGCUAAAGGCACACGUAAGAAGCAAAGCCAUGCAGACACAGGUGUCUUCUGUCAGUGCAGACUUCGGAACAACCUCUCUUUUGCCACACUCACUGCUGACUUCAACACCAAUAAAGAGCCCAGGCUGGUGACCUAGCAAGAGACCACGGCUUGAGUUGAAGGAAGAGGAGGAGAGUGACUCCUCAAGUCAUUCCACAGUCUGUUUUUUCCCUUCCUGGGAAUGUUGUGCAGUUGUAUCUAGCAUCAAUGCACCACAAUGAAAAUGCAUCACAGGAGCAAGCUACUACUUCUGCAGGGCAGGCGAAGAGUGGGGAAGGUGUUGUGAAGGCCGAGAAAACAGAUCCAACAUUCAACUAUGUACAUGACCUCAUGAGUCUGCUCAUGGAGGUUUUGGAGGACCCAACAUCAUUCGAAGAGGAAAUGAAGACUAUCCCCAUCCCUCCAGACCUUUCAGCGGAAUAUACACACACUCCCAAGGCUGAGCUGGUUGCCCGUCACGUCUCCCGCUUCAAUCAAGAGGUGGUCUGAAGCCUACGAAGUCACCAGAUGGGAACUGCUGCCAUAUCCGCUGCACCACACAUGACAGGAUGACGACCCGACAACUAUGUCCUAAGUAUCCCCAACACCAGCUUACAAAGCUGCGAUAGGCAAGAUGCCUGAAACGCCUAAGGGACAAGGAGCGGAACUUUCUGUUAAACUGUUUUCAACAAUAACCUCUUAUAGGCUGGGCCUAUACUGGGCCUUACUGUGCAGCCCCCACCUCCAAACGAAACCAACUCUUUUUGAAUGGUCUGACCAUGCUCAACAUAAAAAAAUAGUUGGCUUCGUUAGGAGGUGAGGGUGCACGGUAAGGCCCCGUAGCUUGCGGCCUUAUAGUUAGUUUUUCUUUUAAUGGUAAAUUGAUUCAAAUCACAUAAUAAUAUUAAUAGUAUAAUAUUGCUUUGGUUUUGUUUAGUGGGAGCUUACAGCCAAAAUGACUUACUCUUCAUCUGUUGUGUGCCUCACAGGUCCAUAAUCAUACUUGUAGAUAUUGUAGAUAUUUUGUAGACUGU